CUGACCAGAUUGCGCAGAUGAGCAGGCUGGUCUGGAUCCAUGCUAGUCGCAAGGCCACUAUGUUGGUUUUCUCACGGCACGGCUCAUUUUAUUUAUCUCACAGGAACAGGUUCAUAGAAACCGUGUGUGCUAUUAUUUUUCUUGCUUGCGGUAUAUGCUUCCGAAAGGUCUUUUGUAGAUUUUCUGUAUUCCUGAGGCGCAGCGUGUCCUCCUUUCUCAUAAACAUAACGGCAAAUAAUUGCAAUGAUAAACAGACAGAAAUAGUAAACAGACACAAACAAAAAUGCAGGAGGGACAUAUUAGGGCACCACCUUAGGACGGUAAAAGGAAAAUCCACCACAGGUGAGUUUUAAACUAGACCCCACCAUAUUCAUAAAUUACAUGACAGUAUAAAUACUUACUGCCCGCUAUAUGUACAAAUGCUUCUAAACGAAAAAGUAGCCACAUGAUAACCUUGUAAAUAAAGAUAUGCUCAUAUGAAUAAAAACCUAUGAACCCGUAAACAUAUUAAUGAUUAAAGUGAUGAAUGAAUAGAAAAACGGAAUUGACAGUAUAUUAGGGUUUCAAAUAUAAAGCAUUCCGAUAUUUUUUAAUUCAAUUGCUUUAUCAGAGACUCGAUUAAACCUGUUUAUCAUUUUUGUAUUCCUAUGCAUAUUUUAGCAUAAUGAUCUGUAUGAAAAUAGGACCUGUUUUACAGCUGUAAAACGUCUGUAAAAGACCUGUAUUUUGAAAUUACAGCUGUAAAAGACCUGUAAGUGGAGAAUAACCAAAAAUACAGUUGAAAUUUACAGGUGUAAAAUAAUUGCAGGUCUCAAAAAUACAGCUGUAAAAAAUUUAGUUGAAAGUUACAGCUGUAAAAUUGUCAUGUCUCAAAAUUACAGCUGUAACUUUUUUGGAGGAAAAUAGGGGUAAUCUUUAUUGCAUUUUGGUGGGAUAAAACUGAAAUUCACAGAGACACCACAUCAUCUAAAAUAUUGAAAUUUUAGCCAUUAUAGAGUAACAGCAAUGUUUGAUUAUCUAAUACAGUUGUAAAAGGACAUGUGUAAGCACAUGCAUUAACAAUUUACUCUUUAUUCGAAACUGAUAAGUUUAAAGGAAAGAAAUUACACAAUUGUCAUAUGUUUUCAUGGCAUAGAAAGUUUUAUAAACAAGAUAUGAUGCAUAGUUUCUACUUUGUAUCCUACUUUUUAACUUUGCAAUUGCUAUACUAGAAACAUAUUUCAUAUUGUUCUUUACUUACUAGAUCAUUUAUUUUGCCAUUUAUGUAGUAAUUGCUGCACUUUCUAGAGAAUUACAAUUCAUCCUAAAACCUUUUGUGCUUCUGAUUUCGUCCCUUAAAGUAACGUACUCUUUUUCAACUCCUGUUAUAUUUCUACAGCUGUAACUUUAAGGCAUAUUUACAGCUGUAACUUUAAGGCAUAUUUACAGCUGUAACUUUUUUUACAGCUGUAUCUCAUUUGCAUAAUUCCACCUGUUUAACAGUCGUUUUACAGCUGUAAAUUAAUAAGAAGUCUUAAAUUUAAGAACGUGAUACUAUUCUUUUAUAAUCAAUCAUUUAGUUUUUACUAUUUAAGGGACAUUUUUUGACAAAUUUAAAACGGCUAUAUCGUCUUAAAUGACCUUCAGAAUAGGUUUUAAAGGUAGUAACAGACUCGGGAAGUUGUAAAAGAAAGAAUUGUACAAGUUCAUACUUCACUAUUUUACAGAUGAUACUACUCAGUCUUGAAUUGUGAAACCAUGAAGUUCAUUUAUGCCUGCUUCACCAUUCACUUUACAGCCAACUUUACGUUGUCAGAUUGAAAACUUCACGAUACUGAUUUAAUCGCAGGGUACAAUCGUGAAGUAUGAAAUAAUGAUGGCAAAAUCUGUCUUCCGUAGAUUUGAAUAAGUAUAUCUUCACGGUGUAACUAUCCAUGCAUAUGAACCUUUGGACAGCCUGAUCAUUUCAGUAACGUAUUUCUGAUAUUCAAGAAGAAAGGUGUGACGAUAUUCGUAAACUUUUACCUUUUGACAGGAGAGAUUCUACAAAGUAAGUGAAUAAAUUACAAAUUCAAAGAUUCUGUUUCGUUUAACUUAACUUUUUGGAAUCCUGUAACAAUUUAUAUAGUUCUUUUGCUAAACAUUUUAAAUGUUUCCUUUGUGGUUGUGGGGUCCUUCAACUGUCAUUCGUUUAUAGCCAUAAAAUUCAUUUAUCUAUUUUAAAUACUUGUUAGGUCUUAUUUUUCUUAAUUAAAAAUUAUUGUGAUCAGUUCGAUUUAAACAAAAUUUUGAAACGCGAAUUAAAUAGAGGACAUUUUUGUUUUAGUGUAAUAUUAAAAAAGCUUUCACAAGUGAACAUCAGAUGUAAUAUUUUCACGAGUGCGGCAUAGCCGUGAGUGAAAAUUUAUGAGUGAGAGAUAUUUUUGAUUUUACGUGUAACAGAAACAAAUAUUCUUUUAAAUUAUCUCAUGCUUUGACUUAAAUGUAACCAUUUUACAGUUUCUUACCAGUGUAAAAUAUCUAUUUGAUAUUUUUCGCUGUGAAAAUACUAGAUAUAUUUCAGGAACAUUAAAAAUGUAGACAUUUAUAUAUUUAUAUAUUCUGGAUGAUUUCAGAGAUAAUUAACAUGAAAUAUUUGGUCGUUCUUCUGAUGUUGUUAUGGAUAGGGUUUACUUAUGCGUGCACGUGUGCUCCUCGUUCUGAAGCAGAAAUGUUCUGUAGCCCUUAUACUAAAUUUGGUGCUUUGGUUAAAACUAAGGACGAUGGUAACACUAAUACAAGUAUUGUUAGACGUAUGAGGAGGUACAAGAUAAGAACUGUGGAAAUGUUCAAACAACUGGUGGUCUAGGUUAAGGAUUUCAGAAUGACUAAAAUAUGAGGUACAGUCUUAACGAUAUUAAAUGAUUUUCUGGUAGAGUGGCACGAAUAAAGUGAACAAGAACGUUAUAUUUACGAAUUUAAACAGUGCUGGAUGUGGCGUCACGUUGGAAGCUCACACGUAUUAUGUCCUCACAGGUGACGUGAUCGAUUUGAAUAAAGGUAAAAAGAAACCUGGGAGCAAAGCAAAGAAAAAUAGAAUGAAGGUCUCAAUUUGCGACUUGGUGAAGAAAGUAAACCCACCAGAGUGCCCUAGUCUUGAUGAUAUGAAACCGAGCUUGACAAACUACAAGCCAGAACCUUAACAUGGAGUUCGGGCAUUCGUCUGUUGUUGUUUUUUUUAUUUCUCGUAAUAUUCUGAGAUAAUUAGGCUCGUACUGUCUAAGCCAAUACUUGAACAUUAAUUUACAAAGUGUGGAACGAUUUCGUAUUUACACUACUUUAUACUGUAUAAAAUAUCAAAGAGCAUAAUCUCGUAUUAUUCAAAUUAUGAAUUAAUAUUUAUUACUUUUGAAAUAAUUAAUUAAUAAAUUAUUACAGCUCACAAAAGCAACAAUUGUAUCUUCUUUCGUUAACAUUAUGACAAACUGUCAAUAAUGACUGUCACGAUCUUGCGUGAAAGGUGAAAGAAUGCCAAUACAAAUAGACUUUUUAAAGAACAGAAUGCAACCACACAAUAUAAUAGCAGAUUCAUUUUGAUUUAGUUUGUUCAGAGUGGUAUUUAAUGUAACACCAUUCACGCACUCUAGUUCACAAAGCUACUAAGUCCUCCUAGUGAGUAAAGAUAGUGAAACCUUCAAUUAACCUCAAUACGUUGUGCAAGAAAAGAGGUCGAAAAAGAAUUAAAAAGCGGUUAACAUAUAUUUGUGGAGCCGACAGUGGCGUCUGAGCUGACUUAAAUCCUAAGAUCGCUGCAGCACCGACUACAAGUUAUAGUUAAGUCUUCAACAUGGCAACUGAGUUUCCUCGGGCGGGGGGGGGGGGGGGGGGGGGGGGGAAUAAAUAUCUAUACUAGUCAACUGAAGUGACUGGUAUCUAAUAAGGUAUGUAGUCAUUAGGAACUUUAUCAACAAAAGUGUUAUGUAAAAUGGAGCCUACUCUAAAAGGUUCUCCAGUUCAGUUCAGUCUGUAUGUAAGUAAAUGUGCCCAUGGUCAUAGUGUUGUUAACAGUCACAAAUCGUUAACUCAAACAAUCCGACGUUAUGUUUAAAACAUCUCUGAAGUAAUACCAUAGACACGCACGUAAUCAUAAUACAUCUACCUCGAAUUUAAGUGUGCUAUUUACACUUAUUGGGACGGCGGACGUUCUAACGUUACGUAAAAAACGCUUGAUUUCAUCAAUGUAGGGAGCGACUCGCGGGACAUUCUUCAGAUCUUAUCAGAUGACAGACGGUAUUCGGUCGGAGAGAUAAGUUUUUUGUUUACCAUGGACUCACAGUAUAAUUUGACUCUUGUAAAGAAUAUGUUUAAGCACUUUCCGCUUGAGCAGAAAUGGGUCAUAUUAAUAAAAUCUGUAAAAGGACCCCUUGGAAGCAGAAUAUGCAACCAAGAAUAAUAAUAAUAGCAGACUCGGUUUGAUUGAGUCUGUUCAUGAGAGGUAAUGUAAUGUGCAACACCUCCCACGCGCCCUAGCACCGGCUUAAGCGGAAUUCUAUUACACAUAUGUUGAAUGAAUUCCAUGAUCCCAAAGGACCAGAAAAUCUAACAAGCCGGUGUAUUAAUGCGCCAAUGAGGAGUACAAUUUAGCUCCUUCACAGUGUAUCUAAAGCACCGUUUGCUACAUGAACGUACCAAAUAAAUUAAUUUAAAGGGAAUUGAAACACAGCUGUUACAAAUAGUUUCUGCAAGGACAACGCUUUUGGACUACAAAAUGAUAAUACGAGUAUUAUACUUAUAUUAAAUUAUUUAGGAUUUACAAAACAAAUUGACAUAGACGGAACAUUGGAGUAGUUAUGAAAAUGUUUUACCAAUUCAUAGCUCAUAACGCAGUUGUAAUGUAUACUUGUCAACAGUACUAAAAUCAUAAUAAAUAUACAAAAAGCUUAAAAGGUGAAUACAAUUCAACGCUUUAAUAGGUUUUUUUUUUCUCUGGC
rnacentral:misc_RNA from 1 species